rnacentral:rRNA from 1 species
AAAUUGAAGAGUUUGAUCAUGGCUCAGAUUGAACGCUGGCGGCAGGCCUAACACAUGCAAGUCGAGCGGUAGCACAGAGAGCUUGCUCUCGGGUGACGAGCGGCGGACGGGUGAGUAAUGUCUGGGAAACUGCCUGAUGGAGGGGGAUAACUACUGGAAACGGUAGCUAAUACCGCAUAACGUCGCAAGACCAAAGUGGGGGACCUUCGGGCCUCAUGCCAUCAGAUGUGCCCAGAUGGGAUUAGCUAGUAGGUGGGGUAACGGCUCACCUAGGCGACGAUCCCUAGCUGGUCUGAGAGGAUGACCAGCCACACUGGAACUGAGACACGGUCCAGACUCCUACGGGAGGCAGCAGUGGGGAAUAUUGCACAAUGGGCGCAAGCCUGAUGCAGCCAUGCCGCGUGUGUGAAGAAGGCCUUCGGGUUGUAAAGCACUUUCAGCGGGGAGGAAGGCGUUAAGGUUAAUAACCUUGGCGAUUGACGUUACCCGCAGAAGAAGCACCGGCUAACUCCGUGCCAGCAGCCGCGGUAAUACGGAGGGUGCAAGCGUUAAUCGGAAUUACUGGGCGUAAAGCGCACGCAGGCGGUCUGUCAAGUCGGAUGUGAAAUCCCCGGGCUCAACCUGGGAACUGCAUUCGAAACUGGCAGGCUAGAGUCUUGUAGAGGGGGGUAGAAUUCCAGGUGUAGCGGUGAAAUGCGUAGAGAUCUGGAGGAAUACCGGUGGCGAAGGCGGCCCCCUGGACAAAGACUGACGCUCAGGUGCGAAAGCGUGGGGAGCAAACAGGAUUAGAUACCCUGGUAGUCCACGCCGUAAACGAUGUCGAUUUGGAGGUUGUGCCCUUGAGGCGUGGCUUCCGGAGCUAACGCGUUAAAUCGACCGCCUGGGGAGUACGGCCGCAAGGUUAAAACUCAAAUGAAUUGACGGGGGCCCGCACAAGCGGUGGAGCAUGUGGUUUAAUUCGAUGCAACGCGAAGAACCUUACCUGGUCUUGACAUCCACAGAACUUUCCAGAGAUGGAUUGGUGCCUUCGGGAACUGUGAGACAGGUGCUGCAUGGCUGUCGUCAGCUCGUGUUGUGAAAUGUUGGGUUAAGUCCCGCAACGAGCGCAACCCUUAUCCUUUGUUGCCAGCGGUUCGGCCGGGAACUCAAAGGAGACUGCCAGUGAUAAACUGGAGGAAGGUGGGGAUGACGUCAAGUCAUCAUGGCCCUUACGACCAGGGCUACACACGUGCUACAAUGGCAUAUACAAAGAGAAGCGACCUCGCGAGAGCAAGCGGACCUCAUAAAGUAUGUCGUAGUCCGGAUUGGAGUCUGCAACUCGACUCCAUGAAGUCGGAAUCGCUAGUAAUCGUAGAUCAGAAUGCUACGGUGAAUACGUUCCCGGGCCUUGUACACACCGCCCGUCACACCAUGGGAGUGGGUUGCAAAAGAAGUAGGUAGCUUAACCUUCGGGAGGGCGCUUACCACUUUGUGAUUCAUGACUGGGGUGAAGUCGUAACAAGGUAACCGUAGGGGA